GAUGAACGCUGGCGGCGUGCCUAAUACAUGCAAGUCGAACGAAACUUCUUUAUCACCGAGUGCUUGCACUCACCGAUAAAGAGUUGAGUGGCGAACGGGUGAGUAACACGUGGGCAACCUGCCCAAAAGAGGGGGAUAACACUUGGAAACAGGUGCUAAUACCGCAUAACCAUAGUUACCGCAUGGUAACUAUGUAAAAGGUGGCUAUACUACCGCUUUUGGAUGGGCCCGCGGCGCAUUAGCUAGUUGGUAGGGUAAAGGCUUACCAAGGCAAUGAUGCGUAGCCGAAUUGAGAGGUUGAUCGGCCACAUUGGGACUGAGACACGGCCCAAACUCCUACGGGAGGCAGCAGUAGGGAAUCUUCCACAAUGGGCGAAAGCCUGAUGGAGCAACGCCGCGUGGGUGAAGAAGGUCUUCGGAUCGUAAAACCCUGUUGUUAGAGAAGAAAGUGCGUGAGAGUAACUGUUCACGUUUCGACGGUAUCUAACCAGAAAGCCACGGCUAACUUCGUG
rnacentral:rRNA from 1 species